rnacentral:tRNA from 1 species
CAGAGAGUAGUUUAAAUGCAAAAUUUUGGCUUUGGGAGCCAGUGAUGGGAGUUCAAUUCUCUUCUCUCUGA